UACGUAGGGGGCAAGCGUUGUCCGGAUUUAUUGGGCGUAAAGAGCGUGUAGGCGGCCUGGUAGGUCAGCUGUGAAAACUCGAGGCUCAACCUCGAGAUGUCGAUGGAAACCGUCUGGCUAGAGUCCGGAAGAGGAGUGUGGAAUUCCUGGUGUAGCGGUGAAAUGCGCAGAUAUCAGGAGGAACACCAAUUGCGAAGGCAGCUCGCUGGGACGUUACUGACGCUGAGGAGCGAAAGCGUGGGGAGCAAACAGG
rnacentral:rRNA from 1 species